rnacentral:rRNA from 1 species
AGAGAAUACCAAGGCGCUUGAGAGAACUCGGGUGAAGGAACUAGGCAAAAUGGUACCGUAACUUCGGGAGAAGGUACGCUCUUAUCAGUGAAGUCCCUUGCGGAUGGAGCAGACGAGAGUCGCAGAUACCAGGUGGCUGCAACUGUUUAUUAAAAACACAGCACUGUGCAAAAUCGUAAGAUGACGUAUACGGUGUGACGCCUGCCCGGUGCCGGAAGGUUAAUUGAUGGGGUUAGACUUCGGUCGAAGCUCUUGAUCGAAGCCCCGGUAAACGGCGGCCGUAACUAUAACGGUCCUAAGGUAGCGAAAUUCCUUGUCGGGUAAGUUCCGACCUGCACGAAUGGCGUAAUGAUGGCCACGCUGUCUCCACCCGAGACUCAGUGAAAUUGAAAUCGCUGUGAAGAUGCAGUGUACCCGCGGCUAGACGGAAAGACCCCGUGAACCUUUACUACAGCUUGGCACUGAACAUUGAACCUACAUGUGUAGGAUAGGUGGGAGACUUUGAAACCGCGUCGCUAGAUGUGGUGGAGUCGUCCUUGAAAUACCACCCUUGUAGUUUUGAUGUUCUAACGUUGGUCCCUGAAUCGGGAUUACGGACAGUGCCUGGUGGGUAGUUUGACUGGGGCGGUCUCCUCCCAAAGAGUAACGGAGGAGCACGAAGGUGGGCUAAACACGGUUGGACAUCGUGUGGUUAGUGCAAUGGCAUAAGCCCGCUUGACUGCGAGAAUGACAAUUCGAGCAGGUGCGAAAGCAGGUCAUAGUGAUCCGGUGGUUCUGAAUGGAAGGGCCAUCGCUCAACGGAUAAAAGGUACUCCGGGGAUAACAGGCUGAUACCGCCCAAGAGUUCAUAUCGACGGCGGUGUUUGGCACCUCGAUGUCGGCUCAUCACAUCCUGGGGCUGAAGUCGGUCCCAAGGGUAUGGCUGUUCGCCAUUUAAAGUGGUACGCGAGCUGGGUUUAGAACGUCGUGAGACAGUUCGGUCCCUAUCUGCCGUGGGCGUUGGAAAAUUGAAGGGGGCUGCUCCUAGUACGAGAGGACCGGAGUGGACGAACCUCUGGUGUUCGGGUUGUCAUGCCAAUGGCAUUGCCCGGUAGCUAAGUUCGGAAUCGAUAACCGCUGAAAGCAUCUAAGCGGGAAGCGAGCCCUGAGAUGAGUUUUCCCUGACGCUUUAAGCGUCCUAAAGGGUUGUUCAAGACUAGAACGUUGAUAGGCAGGGUGUGUAAG